AGUGAACGCUGGCGGUAGGCCUAACACAUGCAAGUCGAACGGCAGCACAGUAAGAGCUUGCUCUUACGGGUGGCGGGUGGCGGACGGGUGAGGAAUACAUCGGAAUCUACUUUUUCGGGGGGGAUAACGUAGGGAAACUUACGCUAAUACCGCAUACGACCUACGGGUGAAAGAAGGAGAUCUUCGGACCUUGCGCGAUUGAAUGAGCCGAUGUGGGAGUGGGUGGUUGGCGGGGUAAAGGCCAACCAGGGCGAGGAACCGUAGCUGGUCUGAGAGGAGGAUCAGCCACACUGGAACUGAGACACGGUCCAGACUCCUACGGCAGGCACCGGUGGGGAAUAUUGGACAAUGGGCGCAAGCCUGAUCCAGCCAUACCGCGUGAGUGAAGAAGGCCUUCGGGUUGUAAAGCCCGUUUGUUGGGAAAGAAAAGCAGCAGGUUAAUACCCCGCUGUUCUGACGGUACCCAAAGUAUAAGCACCGGCUAACUUCGUG
rnacentral:rRNA from 1 species